rnacentral:rRNA from 1 species
UACGAAGGGGGCUAGCGUUGCUCGGAAUCACUGGGCGUAAAGCGCACGUAGGCGGAUUGCUAAGUCAGGGGUGAAAUCCUGGAGCUCAACUCCAGAACUGCCUUUGAUACUGGCGAUCUCGAGUCCGGGAGAGGUGAGUGGAACUGCGAGUGUAGAGGUGAAAUUCGUAGAUAUUCGCAAGAACACCAGUGGCGAAGGCGGACUCACUGGCCCGGUACUGACGCUGAGGUGCGAAAAGCGUGGGGAGCAAACAGGG